rnacentral:lncRNA from 1 species
UGCUAGGAGCAAUUUUUCCAUCACAUCUCUCUCCCUCUUUUCUUCCCUGGUUUCUUAUGUGAUAAUGUGUGAAUCUGAAGCCGGAUAUUGAAGAGGUAAAAUAUCUAGUUUCUUUCUUCUUUUGAUGCCUGAGGUGACCACCCUGAUGGCGUAAUAUAAAGGAAUUGAAAGAGGAGAUACUUUUUACUGUCUAACAUUAUACUUCUGGGCUUGUUACCGCAGUUCUCUGGGUGCUUCAGUGUUCUCACCUAUACAAUGAAAGGUUAGACAAAUACUAUGUAAAGUCUUUAUUCCAGAUGCCCAUCGUUGUAAAUCUUUUGACUUCACAGUAAAGAGGCAUCUUUGAAAUGAUGUCUUUUGAGCCACUACUGUACAUAAGCAGAAUUUUCCCACAAAACAAUAUAAAUUCUAGAAUGUGCCUCUCACUAGGAUCUUGGUCCAAUGCAUUAUCUAUAGUUGUCUAUGGGUUUGAGAUUUAAUUUUUAAAACCAAUGCUUGUAGGAACAUUUUCACUAUUGUGGUAGAGACCUCUGUCUCGUAAAGGUUUUUGACCAUGGAUUCACAAUGUAGGCCUGUGCUGGGCAGUGUCAGCCUAGCCAGGGACUUCGCUUCAUCCAUGCUUGCAUUUUUCCAAGUGGAGCUUAGUAACUGGUUCUCAUCAGCAGAAUGUGAAGGCAGGCCAGUUCAUCCCUUGUGAGCUCAAAUGGUGAAGAAACAACCAUAGCUCUCCACUUGCUCUCUUAUCCAGCCAUUCUGAUGCCAACGUGACUCUCUAAUUCACGUCUAGAAGAUGACAGAUCUUCUGUUAGCCCCAGUUCUUCUAUGAAUGUGUGCCACAGAGAUCCUCUGCAGCCUGACCUCAAAUCAGCCAGGAAUUCCUGCAUUGGGUAGUCUUUGGGUAGAUACUGGGCCAGUAUUUACGUAGUCUGCUUUCCAAGUUAUUAUUGGCAACCAUUUUUUUUUAAUAUUUCCAGUUUAAUAAGCUUUCCUUUCUUUCAACCUGCUAUAGUUUGUGUUAGGUUGGUAGUAUUGUUUUUGCUGUCCAGCUUCAAAUUAUACCACAUACUUUGUGUUAUACACCUGUUAGAGGUACCAAGUUAACACUAACUCGUCACAAAUAAUCUCUCAAAUACCACAAAAAUAGAUCUCUGCUCAUGUAAUCCUCCUGUUUCAGCCUCCCGGUUGCUGGAAUUACAUGUAUGCGUCAUGGCACUUAACUCAAACAGAUUUUUGAUUAAUAAAAAAAUUAUUGCCCCUUGCAAGGCAUGAGGACAUGGCAUUGCUAAUAAUAUUUAAAAGCAUAUGCUUCAAUGCUUCACAGAAAAUUACAGAAGAAAAGCUGAUCUGAGCAAGUUCUCAACAGGCAUCUGCAGAGACCAAAACGGAUUUUCCUCUGGAUUAUACACACUCAUUGGUUUUAAAUUAUUUAGUUGUCAUGAUUUGUGUCACACUAUUCAUAUUCUUAUAUCCAUCAAGGUAUUCAGAGCAAAACUUCUCACAGGUUUCCUCUUUCGUAAAUAACUAUAGCUUAUGUUUAGAAAGAUCUUAACAAUUUUGAGUGAUAUGUAGUGUCUUAUAUAAUCCUCACAUGUCUUUCACAUCCAUUAUAAAAAGAGGAAAUUGAUUUUCCAAAAGGUUAAGGGGAUUUGUUCAAGGGUCAUAUCUAGCAAAUGGUAGAAUUGUAUUUAAACUCUAAAGCUUUGAUUUUAAACCUCACCUAUCCAUCACAGAGCCAGUAGUUCUUGCAUUUGAUGGAAUCAGAAUCACCUGUAGGGCUUGUUACAGCACAAAUGGCAUGCCCCAGCCCCAGAUCUGGUGAGUCUGGGUUGGACUUGAGCACUUGCAUUUCUGACAGGUUGACAGGUGAUGCUGAUGCUAUUGGUCUGAAAAACACACCUUGAGCAGUGCGUUUUUUUCUUCUAAGAUCUUUUCAAUUUUUUUUUUCUCUCUCUCUGGUAUACUCAGAAAGAUCUAAUAAUCAAUAAAGUAGAAAAGAAGCCACUGAAUCCAAUGAAGAAAGAGGACAAUAAGAAAAGAUAAUCUUAAAAAUCCAAAUGAAAAAGCUACAUAAAUAAUAAAGAUUAUUUAUUAAUUAUCUGGGAUUGUGGCUCAGUGGUAGAGCCUCACCUAGCAAGGGAGGGACCCAGGUUCGAGACUCAGCACCACAUUAAAAAAAAAGGCAUUGUGUUGUGUCCGUCUACAUCUAAAAAAUAAAUAUUAAAAAAUGAUAAUAAAGAUGGUGAUUCCUUACUGCACAGAAAAAAAAGCAAGACAAGACCCUUUAGUCAAUAUUCAAAGCCUUCCGUAGUUUCAUCCUCCAUUUCCAAUUCUCACUGUGCUUGAUCUUCAAGUACAGUCCCAGUCUCAUCUGUUAGAUGACUGCUUAAGCUGCUCCUUCUGCUUCUGCUGAAUGUGUUUCUUUGCCCAGUGACAUUUACCUUUUUUUUGACACUUUUUAUUGGUUACUUUUAGUUAUAAUGACAGUAGAAUCUGUUUUAACAUAAUCACAAAAGCAUGGAAUAUAUCAUGUUCUAGUUCAGAUCCCUAUACCUCUCCUUUCCCCAUCCCUUGCUCUCUUCCCUCUAUUGAUCUUUCUGCCAUUUACCCAGUUAUUUUUUAAAAUUAAUUUCUUGUGGAUGUACAUAAUGGUGAGAUUCACGGUGUUAUAUUCAUGUAUGUACAUAGGAAAGAUUUCUCAGGUUCAUUCCACUGUCUUUCCUUUUCCUAUCCUCCCUUUCCCUCAAUCCCGAUCGUCUACCCCACUGAAUUUCUACUCUUCCUCCCCCAGAAGCUCUAUAGACAGUAUAUGGUCUUUGCUUAAAGGCCAAGUUCAGAUAUAUCAUCUCCUGAAACGGCCAUUUAAGGUGCUCUCAGUUUCUCCUUCUCAUCAACGCUCUUCAACCAUUUAAUGAUAGGUCUUUGUUUGAGGUACUCAUAAUAGAAGGAGUGCAGGAUGAAUUUGUGUUUUUUAAAAACUGUACCAUAUGGUCCUUAUUCAUCUUUUGUUUUCCCACAGGACCUAGGACUUUGCUGCUUCCUGGCAAUUGCUCAGUGAAGGGUCACUGUAUUGAAGUUGUCAAAUUAGGAAAAAUUUAAAAGCUUAUUGUGAGACAAAAAUUAUAGAUCAUGAUCCUGGGGAUUUCAAACCAUGUUACAAAAAGCUCACCUUACAGUGGUUACAGCUCAGUUUACAAAGCAAAAAGGAGGAAGUGUUUUGACCUUUUCCCUUGCUGUUAUACAAUAACAUUCUUUUCAAGGCAAAAAGGAGUCAUGUAUGUUGAUUUGUCUGUAGCUGAUUGGUUUAAUUUCCCUGAAUCAUGCUGAUAAGAACAUAAAGCUUAUGAUUUCUGUUUAGGAUGAGGGAUACCAUUUCAGGAAAUCAGAAUGACUUCAGUUAUAAUUAUAUGAGCAACUUCCUAGAGGUAUGUCUAAUCUGUAGCCUCCAUUUUUUUUUCUUUAACAAAGCAAAUACAGAACUUUAUGUGAGUUGACAAUUGCAGGAACAUAUUUGUAUUUUUUGUCUGUUAUGAGAACCUCAAAGUAAUAACUAUAUAAAGUAUGGUGUGUUUCAAAUUACUCCAAAAAAUGACUCAAAAAAUGAUACAUUUUAAUAAGUAAAAUAAGUCUGCAGGUUGUCAGUAUAGGACUGAUUUUGUGGUUCCAUAAUAAACGUAGACUCAGUCUCUUACAACAACUCUAUCCAUGUGGCCUUAUUUUUAUCCUUGUGGUCUUGGGUAGUUUUGGAGAAACAGCCAUCAAAUCCACGCUCUACAGAGCAAGAAGGAAGCAGAAAAGAGAAAGAUAUUUCCCUUCAGCAGGUUGCAGAAACCCCCAAAGGACACUUUGGCAGGGCUUAAUCACAUUAUCAUUCCUAGCUUUGGGGGCUAAACAAGACCCAGGCUGAAAAUAAUCUGGGGUUAAUUAACUGGAAGAGAAAGUGCAAGAAUAGGUAAUAGCUUGGCAACACACCAAGUCUCUGCCACAAUAUUCAAAUCCAUACCUCACCAAACUAAAAAAUAGAAGUUUUCCAAUAUUCUGUUCAAAAUAAAAUAAAAUUUGUAAUAUUUUGGCCACAAUUUCACAAAAUUUCUUUAUAUCUUCUGGUUUUCAGAUACAAUUAUGGUAGAUUGUAUUACAUCCCUCCACAGGACACUGUAGCUUUGUUAAUGUUUUUCUCUGUGCAUGAAUUUGUAUAGUUUCUAUUGUAAUAUCUUCAGGUUUAUUAUUUUUUUUUCUGUUGUAUCUAACUUUUCAUUUUAAAUAUUAUAUUUUUUGGAAAUGUUAUUUUAAAAUGUCCUUUAUUUCUAACUUUUAUUCAGGUUUUCCUUUAAGUCUUUAAAUAUAUAGUUAUAACUAUUUUAAUCCUUGUUGUCUAAAUCCAUUAUCAUUAUACUUUUUUUAAAGAGAGAGAGAGAGAGAGAGAGAGAGAGAGGGGAUAUUUUAAUAUUUAUUUUUUAGUUUUUGGUGGCCACAACAUCUUUAUUUUAUUUUUCUGUGGUGUUGAGGAUCGAACCCAGUGCCCUGUGCAUGCCAGGCGAGCACGUUACUCUUUGAGCCACAUCCCCAGUCCUAUCGUUAUAAUUUUGAAGUCUGUUUUUCUAUUGAUUGAUUUUCUUUUAUUUAUGUAUAACAAUUUCUGCUUCUUAUAAGUAGUAAUUUUUUAGGGUGCUGGACAUUAUUGUUAAUAUUAUUUUGUGAUUCUUGGUUUUGUUGUUUUCCUUUAAAGCAAAUUGAAUUUGUUUUAGUAUCUAGUGAAAUUAUUUUCAGAUGAGCUUGAUCAUUUUAAGACUAAAGACAUAAAAUUCACCUAUGUACAGAAAAAAAAUGGUAACAUGAGAAAGAAAGGUGUAAUUUGGAAGUAAAAUUUUUGUCUGAGAGAACUUGGAAACCCCUCACCAAAACUGCUUUUUCUGUUGGUUGUUACACUCAAUAUAAAGAAUGAUUUAUUUAGUUUUGUAUCCACAUUUUCUUACUUUGUCUUUAAACUGUCACAACUCCUUGGAAGAAGACAGCAGAACACUAGAACUCAGCAGGGAAAAAGGAGAUACACGUGACCCCAGUGCCCUUUGCCCUGUUUCCUUGAAGUCUAUGCAGCUUUGCUUUAGUGCCUUUCCUUGCCCUUAAUGUCACCUUGGGGCUUGAGUGUGUCCACAAUGGAGAAAAGAGCAAGCAGAUAGCUUUAGAUACGGUAAAUAUUGGAUCUGACCUGGGACUAAUCAUCUAAGAGAAAGUAGACUAUGAUUAAGUGAGCGCUGCCCUGAUGCAUUUCAGAAGAUUUUAAGAGGAAAUUUUUUCUUGAUUAAAUUAUCUAGAGAUUAUUAAAGAAAGAUAAUGUGGAACUCGAGGUAUUUGAACUUUCUCAACUAUUCCAAAUCCUUGCAUGCAUUCUUUCUUUUUUUUUUUUUUUUCUGGUUUGUAGACUUUGGCAAUUUGAUUUUGACUAAAUUUUAUUAUACAUGGAGUUCAGGAUAAAAAAUAUACCAAGCCUGAAAAAUACUAGUUUCAUUCAAUUAUAUAUGUGAGUGUUCAAAGGGAAAAGCAAUGUGAAUAAUCAGACAUUUAUGCAAAGUCAGUUACUGAUUUGUUUUCAUUUUAUCUACUUGGUGAUGAAAACUUAAACUGGUAUGCUAUCCAGAUCAAUAUGGAGGCAAUUUCAGAUUCAAUUUAAAAAUCACCAAAAUAUAGUCCGGCAAUUUUAAAGGAGGAAUGUGAUUCUUCUUUCAGAAGUUUUGAUAAAAGAUGCCCCCAAUACAUACAUUUGGUGAGCUCAGUUAAAGGCCACAACAAAAAUUUGUUUUAAAAUAUUUAACUUUUUACUUAUUGAUCAUUAGGCUGAUCUGAUUAGAUAUAUCACAGGAGCACUUGUGUCAGUUUGGGCUUGGAAUUCCUGUGGAUGCCUGAAACUCUAUGAUGUCAAACUAUCUACUAAACAAUAUUAAGUUUUUACCCAUUUAACCCUCAGUCUCUUAUGAAUGAUAAGACAUAAGAUGUAUGAUAUUGCGACAGAUUAAAUGCAGAUAUAGAAAUGAGACUAUAGCUUCCUUCUACUAACCAGGAUGUUAAAGAAACAGGGUUCUAAAAAAUGUUAUUUAUGUUAACAUGCAAAAGGUUUAUUAUUAUGACUUUA